CAGAGUUUACAAACUCCCAAACCCCUUGUGAACAUACCUAUAGUUGCUUCGGCGGAUCCGCCCGGCGCCUCAGGGCCCGGAUCAGGCGCCCGCCGGAGGACCCCAAACUCUUGUAUUUCUUUAGUCAUCUCUGAGUAACUUAAGCAAAUAAAUUA
rnacentral:misc_RNA from 1 species